GAUCGUUUUUUUUAAGUAAUUAAAAAAAACACCAAAAAAAAAAAAAAACCCAGAAACUUGUUCUUCCAAAGCAGAGAGCAUUAUAAUCACCAGGGCCAAAAGCUUCCCUCCCUGCAUCAUUACUUCUGAGGCCUGAACCAAAAGAGAAACGCUCAUAAGCCCUUUGGGUGGCCAGGCUACCCGUGGGCCCCUCGGAGGACCUGGGCUGGGGCAGCCUCUGGGCCCAGCGUGGGGCCCGCUCCAGCCUGCGCUCAGUAUUAGCGAUGGGUCACGUCGUCCUUUCCCACCCAGCCUGGGACGGGGGCAGAGGAGGCGAGGAGGCUGUUGCUGCUGCUGUUUGCCACUAACAGGUGGGUGUCCACAUGUGUCCACGUGCGUGCUUUCUGACGGAAGUGUGAAAUCAGCGCCCAAGUUAGCCUCACCCAGUGACCUCUCGCCCGCCUGGACGGAGCAGGGCCCACCCAGUUGAGUGUUUCUGGGGAGCUGGACGGUGGAGUGCGAAAGGCUUGCAGAACUUGAAGCCUGCUCCUUCCCUUGCUACCAAGGCCUCCUUUUCCGUUUGAUUUGUCACUGCUUCAAUCAAUAACGGCCGCUCCAGAGUCAGUAGUUGAUGAAUAUAUGACCAAAUAUCACCAGGACUGUUACUCAAUGUGUGCCGAGCCCGUUCCUCGCGCUGGGCUCCCGUGUACCCGGACACUGUAACGUGUGCUGUGUUUGCUCUCCUCCCCUUCUCCCUCAUCCUUCCAUCGUUUUUCUGGGGUUUUUCUGUUUGGGUUUGGUUUGGUUUUUUAUUUCUCCUUUUGUGUUCCAAACAUGAGGUUCUCUCUACUGGUCCUCUUAACUGUGGUGUUGAGGCUUAUAUUUGUGUAAUUUUUGGUGGGUGAAAGGAAAUUUGCUAAGUAAAUCUCUUCUGUGUUUGAACUGAAGUCUGUAUUGUAACCAUGUUUAAAGUAAUUGUUCCAGAGACAAAUGCUUCUAGACACCUUUUCUUUACAAACAAACGAAUUUGGAGGGAGGGGAUGGUGACCAAGAUGAGAGGGGCUGUCCUUUUUCCCCAGGAGGGGAGAUUCGAAGAGAUGACCCCUGCCCAGACCAACCAGAUGCCACCCAAAGAAGUUAAGCCUAAGCCAACGGACCAAAUAGCUGAUGUGUUGCCAUUUUCAAAGUCAGAGCAAAACCAGGUUUGGUUCCACCCAGUGGAUUCUGUUGCCUUUCCCACCCCCCCCCCGAGAUUAUUAGCAUCAUCCUUCUUUUUAAAGCCAGACCAGGUUGAUGUUCCUUUGAAGGGAGACAGGAGGGGUGCAAGCAGAGCCGACCUUGUGUCCGCGGGAGGAAGAUAGGGCAGGCCUGAGGAGCAGAGCUCAGACGAAGGGUGGUCAUCUCCCUGGAGACCUCUGCUGUGGCCACAGGUCAGUGUAUGUUGACAGGGCAGACUGGCCCCUCUCCACCUGACGCAGCGCUUCCUGGACAGGCCAGGUGGUGGGCAUUACCGUUCAGCACACGCCCAUCACAUCCCACCCAGUACCAUCCCAGAGUACAUCCAACAUUGACAUGACCUCUAGAUUCUUCACCAUCCUGGGUGAUAGGACGACGGUGGAGGAGGUGCACUCUCUUUGCCGUCCUCUGACCCCCAGGAAAAUCUGAGCGUGAGAAACCCCCCAUCCCUUCCCUUAGCAAAACCAGAUACUUCUGAGCAAAGCCGUUACCCCCACCAGACAUUGUUUUGGGCUCACAGAACAGGGACAGAUGUGUGCUCCCUUAGCACCCAGCCCCCCCCCCAAAAGGCGAAGACAAUGCUGAGUGUCAUGACUAUUUGCACAUGGGUUUAGUAUCAGGAAGGAACCAGGCAGGGUAGCUGUCCCCUCCUGAGUCACAGUGACCCCGGCCACCCUGGACCGAGGGUGGGAGAGAGGCGUGUGUGGGACAGGGAGCAGCCCAGGACAGACUUGGCUAGAGAUGUCUCCAAAGCCCUCCAUCACAUUCACCUUCAGUUUUUGUGUUUUGGGACAAUUACUUUAGAAAAUAAGUAGGUCGUUUUAAAAACAAAAAAUAUUGAUUGCUUUUUUGUAGUGUUCAAAAAAAAGGUUCUUUGUGUAUAGCCAAAUGACUGAAAGCACUGAUAUAUUUAAAAACAAAAGGCAAUUUAUUAAGGAAAUUUGUACCAUUUCAGUAAACCUGUCUGAAUGUACCUGUAUACGUUUCAAAAACACCCCCCCACUGAAUCCCUGUAACCUAUUUAUUAUAUAAAGAGUUUGCCUUAUAAAUUUACAUAAAAAUGUCCGUUUGUGUCUUUUGUUGUAAAAUCAAGUGAUUUUUUCAUAAGGUUCUUUUACUAUUUGAAAAGAUGGGCAGCACGCAGUUUUAUUUUAUUUUUGUAAGUUUUUUAAUACGUGUGAAAGCAAAGAAUACUCAGCAUGCCUUUCUAAGUGACGCGUUUGCACCUUUUGUUGGGAAGUACUGUAUCCUGUGCUGUUAGCAUUCUCGAUAAAUCUCUCUGUGAAAG
rnacentral:lncRNA from 1 species